UUCAUAAACUCUUAGGGCUUUCACUGUUUCAUAGGAAGAAUUGGGAUAAUGUUACUUCACUGGGCAGUUUGGAGUGAAAACAAAGAUGGAACAAGACAAUAGAGGACCAUCUCAACAAUAACCUAGAAUACCAUGGAAGACAGACAUAAAUCAUCUGUAUUUGUCCUGCUCAAGACUUGCCAUAUGCCAGGCAGGUGUGAUGGCACACACUUGUGGUCCCAGCUACUCAGGAUGCUGAGGUGGGAGAACAGAUUGAUUCUGGGAGGUCAAGGCUGCAGUGAGCUAUGAUUGCUCCACUGCACUCCACCCUGGGUGACAGGAACUGCAGACAGCCUCUAGAAGUUGAAUCAGCCUCUACCAAGAAGCUUCUACUGGUGCAAAGAACUGAAUUUUUCAACAAACCUGAGGGAGCUUGGAAGUGGAAAUUUCCACAAUCAAGCCUCUGAUGAGAAUUCAGACUCAGCCAACACCUGGAUUGCAGCCACAUGAGGCUUGAAGCAGAGAACCCAGUUAAGCCAUGUCAGAACUUCUAUCCACAGACCUUAGGUAAUAAUAAAUGUGUGUUGC